GGCCUAUUGGCUCAAUGGUAGAGCGUCGAACUCCUAAUUCGAAGGUUGUGGGUUCGAGUCCCAUGUAGGUCG